rnacentral:rRNA from 1 species
CCUACGGGUGGCUGCAGUGAGGAAUAUUGGUCAAUGGGCGGGAGCCUGAACCAGCCAAGUCGCGUGAGGGACGACGGUCCUAUGGAUUGUAAACCUCUUUUGUCGGGGAACAAAGGCGCCCACGGGUGGGCGGAUGAGUGUACCCGAAGAAAAAGCAUCGGCUAACUCCGUGCCAGCAGCCGCGGUAAUACGGAGGAUCCGAGCGUUAUCCGGAUUUAUUGGGUUUAAAGGGAGGGUAGAUGGUUUGUUAAGUCAGUUGUGAAAGUUUGCGGCGCAACCGUAAAAUUGCAAUUGAUACUGGCAGUCUUGAGUACAGUUGAGGUAGGCGGAAUUCGUGGUGUAGCGGUGAAAUGCUUAGAUAACACGAAGAACUCCGAUUGCGAAGGCAGCUUACUAAACUGCCACUGACAUUGAUGCUCGAAAGUGUGGGUAUCAAACAGGAUUAGAUACCCGGGUAGUC